rnacentral:rRNA from 1 species
CGGGGGGCAGCAGUGGGGAAUCUUGCGCAAUGGGCGGAAGCCUGACGCAGCAACGCCGCGUGCGGGAAGAAGGCCUUAGGGUCGUAAACCGCUUUCAGGGGGGACGAAGCUUCCGGGGUUAAUAGCCUACGGGGUGACGGUACUCCCAAAAGAAGGUCCGGCUAACUACGUGCCAGCAGCCGCGGUAAUACGUAGGGACCGAGCGUUGUCCGGAAUCAUUGGGCGUAAAGAGCGUGUAGGCGGCUUGGUAGGUCUCGUGUGAAAUCCCGCGGCUCAACCGCGGACCCGCACGGGAAACCCCCAAGCUCGAGUCCGGAAGAGGAGAGUGGAAUUCCUGGUGUAGCGGUGAAAUGCGCAGAUAUCAGGAAGAACACCCGUAGCGAAGGCGGCUCUCUGGGACGGUACUGACGCUGAGACGCGAAAGCGUGGGGAGCAAACAGGAUUAGAUACCCGAGU